GACGUAGGGCGCGAGCGUUGUCCGGAUUUAUUGGGCGUAAAGAGCUCGUAGGCGGCUUGUCGCGUCGACCGUGAAAACUUGGGGCUCAACCCCAAGCCUGCGGUCGAUACGGGCAGGCUCGAGUUCGGUAGGGGAGACUGGAAUUCCUGGUGUAGCGGUGAAAUGCGCAGAUAUCAGGAGGAACACCGAUGGCGAAGGCAGGUCUCUGGGCCGAUACUGACGCUGAGGAGCGAAAGCGUGGGGAGCGAACUGG
rnacentral:rRNA from 1 species